UGGCGAACGGGUGAGUAACACGUGGGUGAUCUGCCUUGCACUCUGGGAUAAGCUUGGGGAACUGGGUCUAAUACCGGAUAGGAACCGUCUUUAGUGUGGUGGUUGGAAAGUUUUUUCGGUGCAAGAUGAGCUCGCGGCCUAUCAGCUUGUUGGUGGGGUAAUGGCCUACCAAGGCGUCGACGGGUAGCCGGCCUGAGAGGGUGUACGGCCACAUUGGGACUGAGAUACGGCCCAG
rnacentral:rRNA from 1 species